rnacentral:rRNA from 1 species
CCUACGGGGGGCAGCAGUGAGGAAUAUUGGUCAAUGGACGGGAGCCUGAACCAGCCAAGCCGCGUGAGGGAAGAAGGUACAGCGUAUCGUAAACCUCUUUUAUCAGGGAACAAAGGCGGGGACUAGUCCCCGGAUGAGGGUACCUGAAGAAAAAGCAUCGGCUAACUCCGUGCCAGCAGCCGCGGUAAUACGGAGGAUGCGAGGGUUAUCCGGAUUUAUUGGGUUUAAAGGGUGCGCAGGCGGCCGGUUAAGUCAGCGGUAAAAGCCCGGGGCUCAACCCCGGAGAGCCGUUGAAACUGGCGGGCUGGAGGUGGGGAGAGGUACGCGGAAGUCGUGGUGUAGCGGUGAAAUGCUUAGAUAUCGCGCAGAACCCCGAUUGCGAAGGCAGCGUAC